ensembl:snRNA U6 U6 spliceosomal RNA
GUGCUCACUUUGGCAGCAUAUGCAGUAAAAUAGAAAUGAUAGAGAUUAGGAUUAGCAUUGCCCCUGUACAGGGAUAACACACAAAUUCAUGAAGCACUGCAUAUUUUU